GAGGGGGGGUCCCUGCCCUGCUCAGGGCUCGGGGGGUCCCGGUGCUGCUGCGGCGCCUCCACGUCGGGGACUUCCUUUGGGUGGCCCGGGAGAAGGCCCCGCCCACAGGCCGCGCCCCGCGGGAGCUGCUCCUGGACGUGGUGGUGGAGCGGAAAUCGGCGGCGGAUUUGGGGAGCAGCCUGCGGGACGGGCGGUACCGCGAGCAGAAGUUCCGCCUGCGCCGUUCCGGGCUCCGCUGCCCCAUUUACCUGCUGGAGGACCCUGGGGAGGGGGAGCCCCUGCCCCUCCCCUUGCCCACCCUGCGCCAGGCGGCCGCCAACAC